CGCUGGUUCCGUGCCUAAUAGAACAAGUCGAGCGGAUCUCGAGGAGCUUGCUCCUUGAGAUUUUCGCCGGACGGGUGAGUAACACGUGGGCAACCUGCCUGUAAGACUGGGAUAACACCGGGAAACCGGUGCUAAUACCGGAUAAUUCUCUUCCUCCCAUGAGGGAAAGCUGAAAGUCGGCAUCACGCUGACACUUACAGAUGGGCCCGCGGCGCAUUAGCUAGUUGGUGAGGUAACGGCUCACCAAGGCGACGAUGCGUAGCCGACCUGAGAGGGUGAUCGGCCACACUGGGACUGAGACACGGCCCAGACUCCUACGGGAGGCAGCAGUGGG
rnacentral:sRNA from 1 species